CUCAAAUCCUUCGACGAGACCAAAGCCGGCGUCAAAGGCCUCGUCGACGACGGCAUCACCCACAUCCCCCGCUUCUUCAUCCAACCACCGGACAACCUCCCCACCACCACCACCGACAUCCCCGUCAUCGACCUCCAUGCCGCCGAGACAGACCCUGCCAGGCGGCAGGCCCUGGUGGCCGAGGUCCGGCAGGCGGCGGAGACGUUAGGCUUCUUCCAAGUGGUCAACCACGGAAUCCCCCUCGCUGUGCUCGACGAAAUGCUCGAAGGGGUACG
rnacentral:misc_RNA from 1 species